UUUUAUUUUGAUAUUAUUUUUUAUUGUUGAAAAAAUUAAUAAUAAUUUAUUGUUAAUAAAAAUUAAAAUUUAUAAUAUUUUUAUUUUUAUUUUUUAGUUUUAAAUAAAAAAAAUAAAAUUUAUAUAUAUAAAAAUUUUGUUAUAAAUUAUAAUAGUUUAUUUAUUUGUUUUUUAUAAUAAAUAAUAGUAUUUUUUUUAUUAUUUUAUAAAAAAAAAUAAUUUAAUUAUAAUUAUUAAAAGUAAUUUUGUUAUUUAGAAUAAUAUAUUAAUAUAAAUAACAAAAAUAUUAAAUAUUUUUUAAAUUUUUUGGGGAUUUAAGUUAUAAUUUUUUGUGUCUGCUCAGUGAAUUUAAAUAGCACUUUUAGCGUGUG
rnacentral:rRNA from 1 species